rnacentral:lncRNA from 10 species
GUGGAGCCGUCUUUUCUGCACAGAGUGUGCACUAUCAUCGUAACAGCAGAGACGGAGAGCAAGAGACCUCCUCGGAAUGCACCUGAGUAGGACUCAGCCUCAUUUUGCCUAGCCCCUGCUCAAGAUAGAGUCACUCUGGUUGGAAGGCCUUUGGCAAUAGGAUUGGCAACUCAGAGAAAGCUGGUCCCUGGCAUGGGCAUCUCUCCCAAGGCAUUCUUCCAAAGCUGAUGGCACUAAGGCUGAACCCAGAAGCUGCAGCAGUGGACGGAUGAUGAUCUGAAGAAAUGAGAUCCCUGAUGGGCUUGGAAGUCAUGGUUCCUGUAACCAUGAUGUCACACCCUCGUCCUGACACCGAGAUGGGCUGGACACAUCUGUCACCCAGGGCAAACAAAAUGCUUGGUCUGCAUCUUUCAGAAGAAAACUAAAAAU